CGCGAACCAUUGGUUCACCAGUAGUUAAGCUUUUUGAACCAUUCGUUCACCAGUAGUGAAGCUUUUUGUGUACCUUCAUGUAAAGUAAUGCAUCAUUCUGAGUUGUUACUCUUUCGCGAACCAUUCGUUCACCAGUAGUUAAGCUUUUUGAAUCAUUCGUUUACCAGUAGUGAAGCACUUUAGGGUUAGUUAUAAAACGCCAAACCACUGUUGAUGACAAUGAGGGAUCUACAGCCACUUUAGUUAAACAUUUAUAACAUAAUAAUAACAUAAUAACGGGGUAAUACAGAAAAUAUUAACAAUUUAAAACACAAAAAAAGGCAUUUUAAAAUGGAACAAAAAUAAAGGCUGCACUUUUAACAAGGCAUUUCUC
rnacentral:lncRNA from 1 species